rnacentral:rRNA from 1 species
AAUGAACGUUGGCGGCGUGGAUUAGGCAUGCAAGUCGAGCGAGAAGUUCCCUGCUUGCAGGGGAUGGACAGCGGCGUAAGGGAGAGUAACGCGUGGAUAACCUACCCUGGGGUCCGGAAUAGCUGCGGGAAACUGCAGGUAAUGCCGGAAACAUCUUCGGAUCAAAGGUGUGAUUCCGCCCUAGGAGGGGUCCGCGUCCUAUUAGCUUGUUGGUGGGGUAACGGCCUACCAAGGCUACGAUGGGUACCGGGUGUGAGAGCAUGGCCCGGCUCACUGGGACUGAGACACUGCCCAGACACCUACGGGUGGCUGCAGUCGAGAAUCUUCGGCAAUGGGCGCAAGCCUGACCGAGCGACGCCGCGUGCGGGAUGAAGGCCUUCGGGUUGUAAACCGCUGUCGGAGGGGAGGAAAUCGUAGGGGGCUAUCCCCUUAUGUUGACCUAUCCUUAGAGGAAGGACGGGCUAAGUUCGUGCCAGCAGCCGCGGUAAGACGAACCGUCCAAACGUUAUUCGGAAUUACUGGGCUUAAAGGGUGCGUAGGCGGCGCCGUAAGUCGGGUGUGAAAUCCCUCGGCUCAACCGAGGAACUGCGCCCGAUACUGCGGUGCUUGAGGGAGACAGAGGUAAGCGGAACUGAUGGUGGAGCGGUGAAAUGCGUUGAUAUCAUCAGGAACACCAGUAGCGAAAGCGGCUUACUGGGUCUCUUCUGACGCUGAGGCACGAAAGCUAGGGUAGCGAACGGGAUUAGAUACCCCGGUAGUCCUAGCUGUAAACGAUGAGCACUUGAUCGGAGACUCCUCCAUAGGUUUCCGGUCGAAGCGAAAGUGUUAAGUGCUCCGCCUGGGGAGAUGGUCGCAAGGCU